rnacentral:rRNA from 1 species
AACGAACGCUGGCGGCAUGCCUAACACAUGCAAGUCGAACGAGACCUUCGGGUCUAGUGGCGCACGGGUGCGUAACGCGUGGGAACCUGCCCUUAGGUUCGGAAUAACUCCCCGAAAGGGGUGCUAAUACCGGAUAAUGUCUUCGGACCAAAGAUUUAUCGCCUUUGGAUGGGCCCGCGUUGGAUUAGCUAGUUGGUAGGGUAAAAGCCUACCAAGGCGACGAUCCAUAGCUGGUCUGAGAGGAUGAUCAGCCACACUGGGACUGAGACACGGCCCAGACUCCAAGGGAGGGAGCCAGUGGGAAAAAUGGAACAUGGGGCGAAGGCUGAACCCGCAAUGCCCCGGGAAUGAAGAAGGGCUUUGGGUUGGAAAAGCCCUUUAACCGGGAAGAUUAAGGACAUAACCGGAGAAAAAAGCCCGGGUAAACUCGUG